UACGUAGGGUGCAAGCGGUGUCCGGAAUUAUUGGGCGUAAAGAGCUCGUAGGCGGUUUGUCGCGUCUGCUGUGAAAACCUAAGGCUCAACCUUGGGCUUGCAGUGGGUACGGGCAGACUAGAGUGCGGUAGGGGUGACUGGAAUUCCUGGUGUAGCGGUGGAAUGCGCAGAUAUCAGGAGGAACACCGAUGGCGAAGGCAGGUCACUGGGCCGCAACUGACGCUGAGGAGCGAAAGCAUGGGGAGCGAACAGG
rnacentral:rRNA from 1 species